rnacentral:rRNA from 1 species
CCGGGAUAGGACUAAGACAUGCUAGUCAUGCGCUUUCUAGCUAAUGUGAGAGCGCGGCGUACAGCUCAGUAACACGUGGCUAACCUGCCCUUGGGACGGGAAUACCCCCGGGAAACUGGGAUUAAUUACCGAUAGGUGAAGAAUUCUGGAAUGAAUUUUCGCCCAAAGGACAUUUAUGUCAUGCUCAUAGGUGUUGCCCAGGGAUGGGGCCGCGUCCGAUCAGGUAGUUGGUGAGGUAAUGGCUCACCAAGCCUUUUACCGGUGCGGGCCGUGAGAGCGGGAGCCCGGAGAUGGGCACUGAGACAAGGGCCCAGGCCCUACGGGGCGCAGCAGUCGCGAAAACUUUGCAAUACACGAAAGUGUGACAAGGCUAUCCCGAGUGCCAUCCGCUGAGGAAGGCUUUUACCCAGUAUAAAUAGCUGGGAGAAUAAGGAGAGGGCAAGUCUGGUGUCAGCCGCCGCGGUAAUACCAGCUCUCCGAGUAGUGUGGAUGUUUAUUGGGCCUAAAGCAUCCGUAGCUUGCUAUGCAAGUCCCCUGUUAAAUCCACCGAUUUAAUCGUUGGAUUGCGGGGGAUACUGUUUGGCUAGGGGACGGGAGAGGCCGACGGUAUUUCCGGGGUAGGGGUGAAAUCCUAUAAUCCCGGGAAGACCACCAGUGGCGAAAGGCUGUCGGCUAGAACGCGCCCGACGGUGAGGGAUGAAAGCUGGGGGAGCGAACCGGAUUAGAUACCCGGGUAGUCCCAGCUGUAAACGAUGCAGGCUAGGUGUUUGGGCGGCCACGAGCCGCUCUAGUGCCGCAGGGAAGCUGUUAAGCCUGCCGCCUGGGGAGUACGGCCGCAAGGCUGAAACUUAAAGGAAUUGGCGGGGGGGCACCACAA